rnacentral:rRNA from 1 species
UACGUAGGGGGCAAGCGUUGUCCGGAUUUAUUGGGCGUAAAGAGCGUGUAGGCGGCCAGACAGGUCAGCUGUGAAAACUCGAGGCUCAACCUCGAGACGUCGGUUGAAACCGUCUGACUAGAGUUCGGGAGAGGAGAGUGGAAUUCCCAGUGUAGAGGUGAAAUUCGUAGAUAUUGGGAAGAACACCGGUGGCGAAGGCGGCUCUCUGGACCGAUACUGACGCUGAGGCGCGAAAGCGUGGGGAGCAAACAGG